AAUGAACGCUGGCGGCAGGCCUAAAACAUGCAAGUCGAACGCCCUAGCAAUAAGGAAUGGCGCACGGGUGAGUAACAUGUGGGAAUAUGCCUUUUGGUACGGAACAACGUUUGGAAACGAACGCUAAUACCGUAUGGUCCCUCCGGGGUAAAGAUUUAUCGCCAAAAGAUUAGCCCGCACUAGAUUAGCUAGUUGGUAAGGUAAUGGCUUACCAAGGCGACGAUCUAUAGCUGUUCUGAGAGGAAGAUCAGCCACACUGGGACUGAGACACGGCCCAGACUCCUACGGGAGGCAGCAGUUAGGAAUAUUGGACAAUGGGCGCAAGCCUGAUCCAGCCAUGCCGCGUGAGUGAUGACGGCCUUAGGGUUGUAAAGCUCUUUCGCACGCGACGAUAAUGACGGUAGCGUGAGAAGAAGCCCCGGCUAACUUCGUGCCAGCCGCCGCUGUAAGAC
rnacentral:rRNA from 1 species